GAUGAAGAACGUAGCGAAAUGCGAUACUUGGUGUGAAUUGCAGAAUCCCGUGAACCAUCGAGUCUUUGAAUGCAAGUUGCGCCCGAAGCCAUCAGGUUGAGGGCACGUCUGCCUGGGCGUCACAUAUCGUUGCCCAAUGCCUAUUGCAGUGCAAUAGGAAUUUCUAGGGCGAAUGAUGGCUUCCCGUGAGCGUUGUUGCCUCGCGGUUGGUUGAAAAUCGAGUCCUUGGUAGGGUGUGCCAUGGUAGAUGGUGGUCGAGUUAGAACGAUACCGAUCAUGUGCAUGCUCCCCAAAAUAUGGCCUCUAUGACCCACACGCGUCUUUUGACGCUCAUGACGAGACCUCAGGUCAGGCGGGGCUACCCGCUGAAUUUAAGCAUAUCAAUAAGCGGAGGA
rnacentral:misc_RNA from 1 species